CCAGAGAACACAGAUAAUGUUCUUACCUUUAAGUUUAAUAAUAUAUCAAUUAUAUCUAAUGAGUAGUUUUUAAGUUAAUCACACAAAAUUGGAACUUUAAUUAGUUAAACAGAGACUACAUAUGUACAAGAUGACUGAAUGAUAUUGAAGUAAACAAAGCAAGCAUACCUACUGAAUGGAAAUAACUAUAAUCUAAUGUACAGAAAUAGUAGCAGAGCUUAUUUUUUUGUAAUACUGUUAUGAAUUUUAUUUAUAAAAAAUACAACUGACAUUGACAUUUUGUUUUGGCGAGGUCAAAAACUACACUUAAGAUAUUGAUUCGAACUUCUAUAAUGGAUGGAUUAUCAUUUAAACAUCUAGAAUGCAAUUGAUAGCUAUACAGUGACAACACAGAAACCCAACACCAUUGAACACAUUCAUCGUUUUGGUGAUGACAGUGCUUAUUUAAGUACCAGUUACAGAAGGCAAUUUAUUGGUGUUAACGAUAGACAUUUUCAUCCGUGGUCACCGUAGAUAACAUUUGGAUUCAAUUUUAAAAUCCUUUUUUGAUACAAAAUUUUGAUUGAUUUAUAACUACUAGGAGUUGAAAUCAAUUUAAUUUAGUCUAUUAUCAUCCAAUGAUUUAUUUAAAUCAAAUAUGUAAAAUCACCUAUACUCUGUUCGCUUAGAGAACACCCUGGUUCUGUUCAUGUAGACUGACGGCUGUUUGCUCACGGAGGCUCUAUUUCCCCCUCCAAGAUUUGCGACGAUAAUAGGCGACCGACACUGAUCGGCAGUAACGUGCCGCUGGCAGCUAUGGGUGGGUGACGCGUGGGGGAUGCGCAGAACAAACUGAUUUUCGUCAGGCCGCAGCGUGUUCUCUCAGCGAACAGAGAAUAGUUAUUUAUCUUAUUAUUCAAAGACCAAUUAACACUGAAUCUAUUCGUAUUGUUAUAGUUCAUACCAAUAACAGGUCUUUGAGAUUGACAGUUGCGUAAGUCCGCCAGCAACAGAUUGUGUUGUGUGAGAGGCCGCCCAGGACUUCUAGAUUGGAGUCACUGCCGGAUUGCCAGACAACACACCAGCUGCAUACAUUAUAAUAUAUUUAUAGUUAAUUUAAGUUAAUAAUUAAGUUGCCCCAAAUGUAAAUUGCGCCCUGUUGUCAUUGCACCUAACCCACAGUGACCCCGGCCCCAUGACUAACUUGUGCAUUACUCUUUCCCCAUUAUUACAAUAGUUUUUUCUCUCACUAUAUUCUUAAGAUUUGCAUCAUUGUUUUGAAUUUGGUCUGGUCAUUGUAACAUCAUUGUAUUCCGGGUGUCAUGUAAAUAGAGUUGCCUAUUCAGAGUUUAUAAGGCACGCACGUUUAGCGGUUUAUACCGCACACAUAUUCAGAAGCACAUAGUUUGUUUUUUGUUUAUGUUUAUGUUGUAUGAGUGAAGCACUACUAAUUGCUACUCACAUGGCACAUACAGUCACAUUGUAUGACCAGUGACCACAACUUUUUGAAUUCCAAUAACCACUGGUGUUAUUGUCAUUUGCUUUGUGUUUGAAGACAUUGGGAUUUUUAACAUGGCUAUGAAAAGACAGUACUUAGUAUGUUGGAAAUGUUAGUAUGUUGUUUUUCCUAAUUUUCUGUGGUGCAUAAUGGUAUUUCGUCCCAAAUUGUCUGUUUGUAUACAAACGCAUGAACGAAACCAUGAAGUAUAUAAUAUAUAUGUAUAGAUGUAUCAUG